CAAUAACUUGACCUACUGCGAACUUAUGGCGCUGGGAACCAUAAGGAUCGUGGGACCAUGAAGUCUGAAAGGUUAUGUGAAGUGCUUAUAGAAAUGGUCGACUGUAACCCAAAACCUCUAUGGAAGUAUAAUGUGGUGUACAUCCCUCUUAAUGCGAGGAGAUAGCACUGGCUGAUGGCUGCUGUUUAUCCGAGGAAGAAAGAGGUCACUUUGUACGACAGCUUGAGUAUCGAAUUGGAAGAGAAAAUUGAGUUGGUCGUCGCACAUGUAACGGACGAACUAAGGUGGUUAUUCCAUGUUCUUGAUGACGGAUCAGUUAGGUGGGAGAAGUCAUGGAAUGUGAAGCCAUCCACUAACAGGCCUACGCAACCUAACUCAGAUGAUUAUGGCGUAUACAUGCUGAAAUAUAUAGACUUCUUAUGCAGUAUGAGUGCAAUUGACUUUACGCAUGAGAAAAUUUCAAAAUUUAGAAAGACGAUUGCAUAUGACUGUUUGCUGCAGACAAGAGCAG